rnacentral:rRNA from 1 species
GAGUUUGAUCAUGGCUCAGAUUGAACGCUGGCGGCAGGCUUAACACAUGCAAGUCGAGCGGAAACGAGAGGUGCUUGCACCUCGGCGUCGAGCGGCGGACGGGUGAGUAAUGCUUGGGAAUAUGCCUUAGGGUGGGGGACAACAGUUGGAAACGACUGCUAAUACCGCAUAACGUCUACGGACCAAAGGAGGGGAUCUUCGGACCUUUCGCCUUAAGAUUAGCCCAAGUGAGAUUAGCUAGUUGGUGGGGUAAAGGCCUACCAAGGCGACGAUCUCUAGCUGGUUUGAGAGGAUGAUCAGCCACACUGGGACUGAGACAUGGCCCAGACUCCUACGGGAGGCAGCAGUGGGGAAUAUUGCACAAUGGGGGAAACCCUGAUGCAGCCNUGCCGCGUGUGUGAAGAAGGCCUUCGGGUUGUAAAGCACUUUCAGUUGUGAGGAAAGGUUAGUAGUUAAUACCUGCUAGCUGUGACGUUNGCAACAGAAGAAGCACCGGCUAACUCCGUGCCAGCAGCCGCGGUAAUACGGAGGGUGCGAGCGUUAAUCGGAAUUACUGGGCGUAAAGCGUGCGUAUGCGGUUGAUUNAANCGAGAUGUGAAAUCCCGGGGCUUUAACCUCGGAACUGCAUUUCGNAACUGGUCGACUAGAGUUUUUGUAAAGGGUGGNGGAAUUUNCAGUGUAACGGUGAAAAUGCGNUAGAGAUUGGAAG